CAACAGGGUGAGACUCCAUCUCAAAGAAAAAAAAAGUAAACCAGGCAAUGCUGAUGCCCAGCUAGGUUUAGAAACCCUUAAAAUAGUUCAGACCUCUCCUUUUUCAAGUAAGUAACCAGAAACCUGGAGACUGAGAUGACAAAGAUUGUGAAAGAAACUGAAAGGAGUUAAGACUGAAACCCAGAUUUUCUCAUUCCUACUUGAGUGUUCCUCCGACGACUGUGUGUGUGUAGCUUUGAAAAUACAAAGCAUUGGGAAUAGGAACUGUGAUACAAACAAAGACAGUGACAUGAAGGCAGUGGAUUCUCAGCAUUACAACGCAAGCCAGAACUUGAAGAAGAAGGCUGGGAGGAAACCAGGGUGGAAUGAACCCUGACUCUGUGCUCAGCCCUGAGCAGGCAAGCAGUGGAAAGGCCCCUGGGCUGUGAGCCAGGAAUUCAAAUCCCAGCUUGUAGAGCUGUUCUGGGGGUGAGAAGUUUGGGGUCCCUCGUUGCUGCACCCAUUCCAGGUUUGGGGCUGGUAUCUGAUCUGACCCCUCCCUAAGGUGGGCACAGGAGAAGGAGCGGGGAGAAGAAACAGGUGACCAGAAGACACCCCGUUGAGGGCUCCCUCUGCUGGCAACAGGACCUGCUGAGGUUGCCAUUGAAGUACUGGUCUUCCCAGAGAAAAUGACCCCUCAUUCUCAAAGGGGAACAUCACGUCUGAAAGCUCAUGGCCUCUGCCUACCUCGUGGGACAGAGCUGGAAAUUAUACUCAUGUUUAGAUAGCAUUCCCUAAGAGUGCUGGAAGUUAUGCUUGUGUUUAGAUAGAAUUCUCUGCGAGUGGCUGCUGUUGUCCUUCCGUCGUCAGCACAGACAGGUGCUGGGGUACCCACCUUGGGGUGGGGUGGCAAGAGAAGGCCAGCUUGUAUCCACCUCGUUGUCUUCCUUCCUUCCUGACUUGACUUUCUCCUCUGUGGCCUUCUCAGGAGGGGGAUGUGGUUGAGAGGAGAAUGUGUACUUUACCCCUCACCAGUCCAGAGACGGUCACAUAGCCCAAACCUCUCCCCUUCCCGGAAACCUGCACGUCCCCCUCGGUGCGCCCGUGUGAUGAGGCAGGCUCCGAUAGCCACAGGCUGGUGGGCCACUAGGGAAGCAGAAAAGGAAGACGUUGGAUGAUUCUAGCUGGAGAUAAUGAAUUGAAAAGCUAGUCUUCGUUUCUGGAAAUGAUGCCAUGAGGCCCUCAAAAUAAACAUGCACCUGUCUUUCAGGUCUCAACACCUGUUGCUCUUGGGACAGAGACCCCAGGCCCAAAAUAGGCACAGCUGCUAUGGAUGAUCUUCUCACCCUUCUGGAGCCGAGGCUGGGUCAUGUUUGGAAAUACAUCUCCCUCCAUCCCCUCCUCCCAUCCUCAUUCGGAGCCUUCGGGCUUUAAGAGCUCUUUCCUCGUUCCCUCUCCCCAGUCUUUCUUGGGUACCUCUGCUUCUCCCAUCCCCUGUUCCUGGGCAUGUCAUAGGCAGUUGGUAAAUGACAGAUGCAUGAAUACAUGUAUAAGGAAACACAGAUCUGAAAUUUCUAGGAGUCAAGUUUGGAGCAGGAAGCUCUGGCUGGCCCUGGGCUUUUUGCUAACGGUGUCCUGGCUUCGCCCGGCAGCAUCCCUCCCCACCAGGCCUUUGCCAGGACGCUCGAUCCUCUCUUCAGGCUUCUGAGCAGUGUAAAUUGCAAACAGCCACCCCCACUCCCCAGGCCAAGAAAACCAAGUUCAUGGCCAGGGUUGCUCACAGAUUUGUCAGGAAUCACUUCUGCCUUAUUAUUCUCUCUUUAUUACCGAAUUGUGGAGGCAGAAAGUCAACAGAGAAAGAAUUUGUUUUCCCCAAGGCCACACAGAUUGCCCCAACACUUGGCUUUUCCUGCUGGGAACUCAAUCCAAAAGAUGGGCUUUCUUUGGUUCUCUGACUAUAAAAGCGUGCCACCCUGUCACCGUCCUCUAUCAUGCAGGAUCCCUAUGGGCUUGGUUUGGUUGUGUUCUUUCAUCACUAUUAUUGGGGAAGUUUUAUUUCCUUUACCUUCCUUGAGGUGUGAGGCUUCACCUUACCUUGUCUCCAUUAUCCCUGAGUCACUGAGGAGUCCUUUGUCAAUGACACCUCUCCCUGUGCUUUACCUAAGCUGCCCCUUCUCUCAGCAAGCUCGCUGCAGGCUUCCCCAUGAAGGCCGCCUAAGGGUGUCUAUCAUCCCCUCCUAAAUCUCCCCAGGACUUUGAACAAGGACCAUGUCCCGUUUAACGUCACCCGAAGAAGACUCAUCAAAGCCCAGGAGUUGGGAGUUCUUGCUCCUCACUACCUUGGCAAGCAUGAAACAUCUUAGAUAAAAACAAUCUGUGCCAUCCCCUGGCUCCGGAUGGCCUGCAGUUGGGGCAUGAGCGCCUCCAGAAUGUCUGGGCAUGGCUGAGGGUAACCGGAUCGCCGCUCAGAUCCAGCAAGCAGCCUCAGAACCUCCCAGCCGCUGUUGUUUUUAGCACUGGGAUUAUUGAUAGGGGUGUAAAAAGACAUCUGUGUUCUGAGUGGCUCGCUCACCCCACAUUCCUAGGCACACUUGUUUUAUUAAAGCUCUCAGCUGUCGGGUGAGCCAGGCGUGGAGAAAUGAAAGGCCGCCCUCACCAGCUGGUGGCGGGCUGCAAACUGCAACUAGUUUUCCCCCAUAAGGACAUGUUACUGCUAUUAGAAACUGUGUCCCUCACAUGUCCUUAAGAAGGGGGCCAUCUGCCAACCAUAAAUCAAGACUUCAGCUGUUCCAAAUAAAGAAAGAGUCUACCCUCCUUGCUGGCGGUCCUUUUAUAGUUGACAGAUUUUUUUUUUUUUAAUCUUGUGCUUGGCCGUGUAUUUCUUGUGUAAUUAAAAAAUUAUAAAAGUAAUAAAAAAUACAAAGCCA